GUUUUAAGUUAAAGUUAGCUUAUUGAUAGUUGUUGUGGUCGGAUAAGCUGGGUGAGAGAAGAGAGCAGGAGAUCAAUGGAAAGCCAACAGCACAAGGAGAAGAAGAUGAAGAUACUUUGCCUCCAUGGAUUUAGAACCAGUGGGAGCUUUCUGCAAAAGCAAAUUAGCAAAUGGGAUGCUUCUAUCUUCUCAGAGUUUGACUUGGAUUUUCCAGAUGGUAUAUUUCCUGCCGGAGGAAAAUCCGAUAUAGAAGGCAUCUUCCCACCACCUUACUACGAGUGGUUUCAGUUUGACAAGGACUUCACAGAGUACACAAACUUGGAAGAAUGCAUCACUUAUUUAUGUGACUACAUAACAAGCAAGGGUCCUUUUGAUGGUUUGCUUGGUUUUUCUCAGGGUGCAACACUAUCAGGACUCUUGUUGGGCUACCAAGCUCAUUGAAGGAGCAUCCACCUUUCAAGUUUUUUAUAUCUAUAUCAGGAGCAAAAUUCAGAGAUCCAAAAAUAUGUGACAUUGCAUACAAAGACACUAUCAAGGCCAAAUCUGUCCACUUCAUAGGAGCUAAAGAUUGGUUGAAACUACCUUCCGAGGAUCUUGCUGCCGAAUUUGACAACCCGCUCAUCAUCAGGCACCCACAGGGGCAUAUGGUCCCAAGGCUAGAUGAAGCAGCCACCGAGCAGUUACGUGGUUGGACUACAGCUAUCAUCCAAUGCAAUGGUACUAUUUCAGAUGGUAAGCAUGAACUGGAGAACGGAGAUGCCAACGAAAAACAUAACGGCACAGAUCUCAUUCAAUGCGAUAACGCUAAGUUAGACAGUAAGCAUGAACUGGAGAAUGGAGAAGCCAAACAAAAACAUGAUGGCGCAGAUCUCAUUCAAUGCGAUAACGCUAACUUAGAUAGCAAGCAUGAACUGGAGAAUGGAGAAGCGAAAGAAAACUUUGGAGCAGAUCCAGUAGUUUCAGCAAUGAAGAACCAAAGCCAAGAGACAAGAACUGCAGGUGAAAUAAAAACAAAUUAGAGGGACGUGUAGGUUGUGGUGGCAACCGGAGCAUGAAGAAAAUAAAGAUGUUUGUUCCUUAACCCGUUCAUUUGAAUGUAUGAUCCACAUUGACAAGUUGUCAGUGGAGGUAAUUUAUCCGUAGUCAGUAUAUUAUGUCUUUUUUUUUUUAGUCACAUGGAGUUGCACCUUUUAUGGAAUGGAAAUCUGUAUUGUUAAUGUAAUAUAAUUGUCUCUCUUAUUGCUCA